rnacentral:lncRNA from 1 species
AUUUCAAUUUUUUUAUCCUUCCUGUUUUGUAUUUUUCUGCUAAAUUCCUGCUCCAUACUAUGUUCUAAGUUCCAUGACAUUUUCUCAAGAUUAUUGUAUAUAUCUUGUCGGAUACCCUAACAUUCAUGUAAUAUGUAUGUUGGAUGGUUUGUAUGAUUAGUUUAUCUGUAAGAUAUAUAUGAUUGUCUUAAGUAAAUCUCUAUGGAACAAAAAAUAAUAUCCAUAGAUUUAAACAAGUGUGAUUCUUGAAUUUCGUUGCUUCAUAUUUGAAUGCUUUCUUAAUGAAAUAUCGGAAGUGUGCUAAUGUAUUUGAAAAAC